CAUUGAACUGAGAUACCGUGCGAUUCUACGAGCAGCAUGGAAUAUGCCAUCGCGCCAGCCUGAUGCCAGCCAUGGCCGCGGUGAUGUGAAGAAUGCUCGGGAUGGUAAGGUCACUUUCCAGCGAGGGAGGAUGGGUAGUGUUGUUAAUAGCACAUUGCAUUGACGUACUCGCAGAAGAAGCACUGGCUACUCCGUGCCCAGCAGCCGCGUAAUACGGAGGGGUGCAAGCGUUAAUCGGGAAUUACUGGGCGUAAAGCGCACGCAGGCGGUUUGUUAAGUCAGAUGUGAAAUCCCCGCGCUUAAACGUGGGAAACUGCAUUUGAAACUGGCAAGCUAGAGUCUUGUAGAGGGGGGGUAGAAUUCCAGGUGUAGCGGUGAAAUGCGUAGAGAUCUGGAGGAAUACCGGUGGCGAAGGCGGCCCCCUGGACAAAGACUGACGCUCAGGUGCGAAAGCGUGGGGAGCAAACAGGAUUAGAUACCCUGGUAGUCCACGCUGUAAACGAUGUCGACUUGGAGGUUGUGCCCUUGAGGCGUGGCUUCCGGAGCUAACGCGUUAAGUCGACCGCCUGGGGAGUACGGCCGCAAGGUUAAAACUCAAAUGAAUUGACGGGGGCCCGCACAAGCGGUGGAGCAUGUGGUUUAAUUCGAUGCAACGCGAAGAACCUUACCUACUCUUGACAUCCAGAGAAUUCGCUAGAGAUAGCUUAGUGCCUUCGGGAACUCUGAGACAGGUGCUGCAUGGCUGUCGUCAGCUCGUGUUGUGAAAUGUUGGGUUAAGUCCCGCAACGAGCGCAACCCUUAUCCUUUGUUGCCAGCGCGUAAUGGCGGGAACUCAAAGGAGACUGCCGGUGAUAAACCGGAGGAAGGUGGGGAUGACGUCAAGUCAUCAUGGCCCUUACGAGUAGGGCUACACACGUGCUACAAUGGCGUAUACAAAGAGAAGCGAACUCGCGAGAGCAAGCGGACCUCAUAAAGUACGUCGUAGUCCGGAUCGGAGUCUGCAACUCGACUCCGUGAAGUCGGAAUCGCUAGUAAUCGUAGAUCAGAAUGCUACGGUGAAUACGUUCCCGGGCCUUGUACACACCGCCCGUCACACCAUGGGAGUGGGUUGCAAAAGAAGUAGGUAGCUUAACCUUCGGGAGGGCGCUUAUUACCAAAUUU
rnacentral:rRNA from 1 species